rnacentral:rRNA from 1 species
GUGUGAAGAAGGCCCUCGGGUUGUAAAGCACUUUCAGCGAGGAAGAACGCCUAGCGGUUAAUACCCGCUAGGAAAGACAUCACUCGCAGAAGAAGCACCGGCUAACUCCGUGCCAGCAGCCGCGGUAAUACGGAGGGUGCAAGCGUUAAUCGGAAUUACUGGGCGUAAAGCGCGCGUAGGUGGCUUGAUAAGCCGGUUGUGAAAGCCCCGGGCUCAACCUGGGAACGGCAUCCGGAACUGUCAAGCUAGAGUGCAGGAGAGGAAGGUAGAAUUCCCGGUGUAGCGGUGAAAUGCGUAGAGAUCGGGAGGAAUACCAGUGGCGAAGGCGGCCUUCUGGACUGACACUGACACUGAGGUGCGAAAGCGUGGGUAGCAAACAGGAUUAGAUACCCUGGUAGUCCACGCCGUAAACGAUGUCGACCAGCCGUUGGGUGCCUAGCGCACUUUGUGGCGAAGUUAACGCGAUAAGUCGACCGCCUGGGGAGUACGGCCGCAAGGUUAAAACUCAAAUGAAUUGACGGGGGCCCGCACAAGCGGUGGAGCAUGUGGUUUAAUUCGAUGCAACGCGAAGAACCUUACCUACUCUUGACAUCCUGCGAAUUUGGUAGAGAUACCUUAGUGCCUUCGGGAACGCAGAGACAGGUGCUGCAUGGCUGUCGUCAGCUCGUGUUGUGAAAUGUUGGGUUAAGUCCCGUAACGAGCGCAACCCUUGUCCUUAUUUGCCAGCGCGUAAUGGCGGGAACUCUAAGGAGACUGCCGGUGACAAACCGGAGGAAGGUGGGG